ACGUCAAGUCAUCAUGGUUCUUACGAGUCGGGCUACAAACGUACUACAAUGGCGUUAACAAUGGGUCGCAAUGCUGCAAGGCAAAGCCAAUCCUUAAAAAACGCCUCAGUUCAGAUUGUCCUCUGCAACUCGAGGGCAUGAAGUUGGAAUCACUAGUAAUCGCUGAUCAGAAUGCAGCGGUGAAUGCGUUCCCGGGUCUU
rnacentral:rRNA from 1 species